AUACGGAAGGUCCGGGCGUUAUCCGGAUUUAUUAGGUUUAAAGGGAGCGCAGGCGGAGAUGCAAGCGUGACGUCAAAUUUCGGGGCUCAACCCCGUCUCGCGUCGCGAACUGCGUCCCUUGGUUGCGGGAAGGGGAGGCGGAACUCGUGGUGUAGCGGUGAAAUGCAUAGAUAUCACGAAGAACUCCGAUCGCGAAGGCAGCCUUCCGGCCCGUCAACGACGCUCAUGCUCGAAGGUGCGGGUAUCAAACAGGAUUAGAUACCCUGGUAGUCCGCACAGUAAACGAUGGACACCCGCGGUUUGGCCUGUAUGGCUGAGCCGCCAAGCGAAAGCGUUAAGUGUCCCACCUGGGGAGUACGCCGGCAACGGUGAAACUCAAAUGAAUUGACGGGG
rnacentral:rRNA from 1 species